rnacentral:misc_RNA from 1 species
UUAAUUCAUUGAAUUUUUGCUCAGACUACACUGAUAUUCGAGUUUAAAGGUCCAUUGCCCUAGAGGCCGGCAGAGAGCGACACGGGGUUUCCCCACACAUCGGUCAGCCAACAUAAGGCAAGGCAACUAGUGGUUUACAACAAAGGGUUGGAGGUUGGACUUUCAUCCUUUCUCUUUAAUGAUCCUUCCGCAGGUUCACCUACGGAAA